GAGGAGGCGGGACUUGAGCGAUCAGCUGCAGAAUGAGCUAGAAGAGCGAGCGGUGUCGGAGAUGUUAUAACUGCUCCUGGAAACGCGUCAAAGGGAUUUGGAGGCUGUUUACCACCAAACGCGAUCUUAUAAAGACGGGAUGUGCUGGUCGUGGCCGCUCGUGUCAGUGCUGGUGCUGUGCUCGCUCCUGUCUGUCGGGACGGUGAGGACGGCGCCCUGUCAGACCUGCCGCAGACUCACUGACCGCUUCAUCAAGGGUUUGGAGCGAACAGCCAAUAAGAACUUUGGAGGAGGGAACACAGCUUGGGAGGAGGAGAAGCUGGCGAAAUAUGCACGCAGUGAAACGCGUCUGUUAGAGAUCGUAGAGGCUGCAUGUGACAAGACUGACUUUGACUGCAACAGGCUGCUGGAGCAGAUAGAGGACCAGGUGGAGACAUGGUGGUUUCACAGACAGCAGGAGGCUCCAGACCUGUUCGACUGGCUGUGCAUUGAGGAGCUCAGACUGUGCUGCCCACCUGGACACUACGGGCCUGAAUGUGCAGGUGCUCAAACACACACA